rnacentral:ncRNA from 1 species
GGGAUUACGGUGGAUACCUAGGCACCCAAAGACGAGGAAGGGCGUGGUAAGUGACGAAAUGCUUCAGGGAGUUAAAAAUGAGCAUAGAUCUGGAGAUUCUUGAAUAUGUUAACCUUUUUAACUGCUUCUUAAUCCAUGGGCAGGCAAGAGACAACAUGGCAAAUUGAAACAUCUUAGUAGCUAGAGGAAUAGAAAGCAAAAGAGAUUCCUGUAGUAGCGGCGAGCGAAAUGGGAGCAACCUAAACAAUGAAAAUAGGAUUGUGGGAGAGCACAAUAUAAGCUCUGUGCUGUUAGGCGAAGCGGUUGAGUCCUACACCCUAGAUGGUGAGAGUCUAGUAGCCAAAAGCAUCAUUGGGUUACACUCUAACCCGAGUAGCAUGGGGCAUGUGGAAUCCCGUGUGAAUCAACAAGGACCACCUUGCAAGGCUAAAUACUCUUGGGUGACCGAUAGUGAAGUAGUACCAUGAUGGAAAGGUGAAAAGAACCCCCAUCGAGGAGUGAAAUAGAACAUGAAACUGUAAGCUCCCAAGUAGUGGGAGGAAAAUGAUAUCUCUUAUCGCGUGCCUAUUGAAGAAUGAGCCAACAACUUAUAGGCAGUGGCUUGGUUAAGGGAACCCACUGGAGCCAUAGUGAGAGAGAGUCUUCAUGGGGAAAUUGUCACUGCUUAUGGACCCGAACCUGGGUGAUCUAUCCAUGACCAGGAUGAAGCUUGGGUGAAACUAAGUGGAGGUCUGAACCGAUUGAUGUUGAAAAAUCAACGGAUGAGUCGUGGUUAGGGGUGAAAUGCCACUCGAACCCAGAGCUAUCUGGUUCUCCCUGAAAUGUGUUGAGGCACAAUAGUUGACUGGACCAUCUAGGGGUAAAUCACUGUUUCAGUACGGGCCAUGAGCGGUACCAAAUUGAGGCAAACUCUGAAUACUAGAUUACCCCAAUAAAAGGGGUAAAGGUCAGCUAGUGAGAUGAUGGGGGAUAAGCUUCAUUGUUGAGAGGGAGACAACCCAGAUCAUCAGCUAAGGCCCCUAAAUGACCACUCAACGAUGAAGUAAGUAUGAGUGCAAAGACAACGAGGAGGUUUUCCUAGAAACAACCAACCUUGAAAGAGUGCGUAAUAGCUCAUUGAUCGAGCAUUCUUGCACCGAAGAUGAAUGGGACUAAGCGAUCUGACGAAGCUGUGGGAUGUAAAAAUACAUUGGUAGGGGAGCGUUCCACCUCAGAGGGAAGCACCAGUGCGAGCAGGUGUGGAUGAAGCGGAAGCGAGAAUGUCGGCUUGAGUAACACAAACAUUGGUGAGAAUCCAAUGCCCUGAAAACAUAAGGGUUCCUCCGCAAGGUUCGCCCACGGAGGGUGAGUCAGGGCCUAAGAUCAGGCUGAAAUGCGUAGUCAAUGGACAAUAGGUUAAUAUUCCUAUACUACUCCUUGUUGGUCCUGAGGGACAAAGGAGGAUAGGUUAUCCGAAAGAUGGUUAUCGGUUCAAGGACGCAAGGUGACCCUCUAUACAUUGAUUCAAAGGUAAAAGAAGAAUAAAAUAUAGGUGUGUACAAGGUGAGGUUGGGGGUGGAUAUUCCUCAUUAUCUAAUCUAGCACACAAAAAUCCAAGAUGGUUUAUCCAAACAUUAUAGGAUGCACAAAAUCAUGUAGGAGCGCCCAUAUCAUCAAUGAG